rnacentral:rRNA from 1 species
AGUAGGGAAUCUUCGGCAAUGGACGAAAGUCUGACCGAGCAACGCCGCGUGAGUGAAGAAGGUUUUCGGAUCGUAAAACUCUGUUGGUAGAGAAGAACGUUGGUGAGAGUGGAAAGCUCAUCAAGUGACGGUAACUACCCAGAAAGGGACGGCUAACUACGUGCCGG